CUCGUGUGCCAGUGUCAUAUGUGUUGAUCGCGACAGCCGCGUGUUCGUGUCGUGGUAAGCUCGACUAGCGAGGAACGUCGACGCCGUAAACGCGACGCCCUCGUAACGAUGCCACCAGAGAGUCCAUGUUAUAAAUAUAAUAAUAUCAAUCAAUAAUGAUGAUUAUGGAUUAAGAAGAAAAAAUUUAUUAUAUUUUCCACUUGCAAGUAUAAGUGCGCCAAGUCUCUCUUUACCAGGCCCGACAGAGCGUCGUAAUUUCAGCAAGAAUAGAACGAGGUCGUGAACCAGACGUCCAACGAACAAACGUCAGACGAAAAGAGAAAUGGUGAGGAGGUAGAAGAGAGAAAAGCAAAGAUCGAAAGAACGAACAGAAACGGUCAUAUAGGUGAAUGAUGAGUUAGAGGAAGAAAAAGCAAGAGGAAGAGAGAACUGUCGAGAGAGGAACCUUGUUACAAAAUCAUUUCGUCGGCAGUACGAUGGAUCGAUCGUAACCAUUUUGUAUUCAGACAUCGAAAUACUGAGUUCAAUGAUUAAUUAUUGUAUGCUUUGCUCUUUUUUUCCUUUUUCUACUGUCAUUGGAUGCAAUGAAUUUGAUUUGAAAUUUCUUUUCUAUUCUCCACAUUAACUAACAAUGUUCUUAUAAUUUCGAUGUAAAUUUUUAAUGUAACAAUUAUUUCGAUAAGAGUUUUGAAAAAUGCACAAAACAAUUACAAAAUUUUUAAAAAUUUAUAUUAAAAAAAUUUUGAAAUAUUAUUUUUUAAUCAAUAAUUUUUCAGUUUCUUUUUUUUUACUACCCGUUAUAGUGCAUAUUAUCAUAUAGUGUAUAUUAUAUAGCGCGAAUUUAAAGCGGAAAAUACCUUAAAGAUGGCAGUUCCAUUCGAAUAGAACAAGUUUCAUUUGAAUAUAAAAUUCGUGAAAAAACUUUUUUUUGAUGAAAUAAAUAAUUGAGCGUGAAAAAGUAUAAAUAAAAAUAAAUAAUAAAUAAUAAAAUAAAUAAUUUGUUAUUCUUUUGAAAUAGAAAUAAAGAAAUAAUAUAAUAAGAGAGAUCAAAAAUGCAACUUAUUCACAAAUUCUUCGAAUUUUUAGAAUAAAUCAAUACAAUACUCUUAUUUACAAUCUUUUAUGAAUAAAAAAUAAUUUAGAUAAUGCAAUAUCAAAUUAAUUCAUCUGUAAAAUACUUUUAUAGUCUUAUGAUAUAAUUCUUAUUUAUAAUAUUAUUGAAGAUCUAAAUGAUUAACAAUAAAUUUUACAAUUUUAUUCUCACUGGCUGUAUUUGCACAGUUAUAAUCUAUACAUAAUUAAAUAUGAUCUAUAUAUAAUUAAAGAUUGGAUAUAACAAAGAUUGAAAAUAUUAAAGAAACUUUUUCGAAAGAAUAUUUUGAUUAUUAAAAUGUAAUAUAUAUAUAAUAUAAAAAUUUAUUUUUUUUUAUAUAUAUGUAUCAUUAUACAUUUUAUAUUAUAUAUUUUUAGUUUAAUAAUUUAAAAAAUUUUUAAUUAACAAAUAUGAUAAUUAUAAAUAUAAUAUUUAUGAUACAAUAUUAUGGCAUUUAUAACUUUUUUUUAAAUUUUUUUCUUAAUCUUAACUAUAUCUAUUAUACAUUCAUUAUAAAUCGUUCAGAAAUAAAAUAUAGUAAAACUAUUAAUCUUUCAUGAUUUUCCAAAUAUUAUCAAUAAUAAUAUAUUUAUUUAAUUUUUAGAUGAAAUACUGAAAAUAUCUGCUUUGAAAAAAUGAAAUGGAAUGAAACAAAAAAACGAGAGAGAAAAAGAGAAGGAGAGAGAAGAGAGAGAGAGAGAGAGAGAGAGAGAGAGAGAGAGAGAAAUCAAACAAAAAUGAUACAGAAUUGACGAGCGAAUCAACAUUUGAUAAUAAAUUUUGUGACGACACAUUGUAUAAUUGUAUACUUAUAUAUAUGAUUAUUCAAAUAGGGUAAAAAAAAAUUACAAAUUACAGAACUACAAAGAUACGUUCUCAACUUAUUUAAUGAUAUUCGUUAAUAUAUCCAUGAUCUGCGAACAUUUGUAUAUAUGGCUAUAAUAUAUCCAUCUAUAUUGGCAGCAUCCUGAAAUUUAAACAUCGGCUUACUGCAAACCGAUUACAAAUUUUUCCACACGAAUAUCCUGUCAGCAAUUUCCUGGCGAAUAUUUUGCCAACGUAGAUAUCUAUUUCGUUUUUUUUUCUUGCUGAUUUUUAUUCUCUAGCUGAGUUUUUGUUUUUACUUUGAAUGCAUCGAUCGUCUGCAUACAUUUACUAAUUCUCAUUUACCAUAUCCACAUAAUUAUCGUAAUAUAAUCGAUGAUUAUAAAGAGUAGAACAUAAAAAGAAAAGAAAUAAAGAGAGAGAUUAAACUGAUUUAAAAAAAAGAAUUUUGGUAAAAUCUACAACAUAUUCAGAAUAAACGGAAUAAAAUAUGUUAUUUAUAAUUUAAUUUUUAUAUAAAUUCAUAGUUUUUGUAAAAAAAGAUAUUCAAAAAUCAUUUUUUAUAAAAAUGAUAAAAAUGUAUAUUGAAUUGUGAACUUAAUUAUCAAUCAUGAAACAUAUAAAGGAUAAUUAAAAUAUACAAAAAUUAUAACACACAAAAUAUAAUUAAGAAUUAAGAAUUAAGAAUGGAAUAAAAUGUAUAAUAUAAUUUUUAAAUUUAUAAUAUUCAUUCAAAUAAUAUUACUUGAAAAUUAUUUCUUAAAAAAAUAAUAAAAAUGUAUAAUAUAUAUGUAUAUAUAAAUAUAUAUAAUAUAUAACCAGUUAUUACUAUGGAAGAUCACUAUCGAUAAAAAUAGAUGAAUUAAAAAAAGAUUAAAUAUGAUA